UAGGGAAUCUUCCACAAUAGACGAAAGUCUGAUGGAGCAACGCCGCGUGAGUGAAGAAGGGUUUCGGCUCGUAAAACUCUGUUGUUAAAGAAGAACAUAUCUGAGAGUAACUGUUCAUACGUUGACGGUAUUUAACCAGAAAGUCACGGCUAACUACGUGCCAG
rnacentral:rRNA from 1 species